rnacentral:rRNA from 1 species
AUACGGAGGGUGCAAGCGUUGUUCGGAAUUACUGGGCGUAAAGCGCGCGUAGGUGGUCUGUUAUGUCAGAUGUGAAAGUCCACGGCUCAACCGUGGAAGUGCAUUUGAAACUGGCAGACUUGAGUACUGGAGGGGGUAGUGGAAUUCCCGGUGUAGAGGUGAAAGUCGUAGAUAUCGGGAGGAAUACCGGUGGCGAAGGCGACUACCUGGCCAGAUACUGACACUGAGGUGCGAAAGCGUGGGGAGCAAACAGGAUUAGAUACCCUAGUAGUCC